rnacentral:rRNA from 1 species
UACGUAGGGUCCAAGCGUUAUCCGGGAUUACUGGGCGUAAAGAGUUGCGUAGGUGGCAGAGUAAGUAGAUAGUGAAAGCGUGUGGCUCAACCAUACAUCCAUUAUCUAAACUGCUCAGCUAGAAGAUGAGAGAGGUAGAUGGAAUUUCCAGUGUAGGAGUGAAAUCCGUAGAUAUUGGGAGGAACACCGAUGGCGUAGGCAGUCUACUGGCUCAUUCUUGACACUAAGGCACGAAAGCGUGGGGAGCAAACGGG